AGAGUUUGAUCCUGGCUCAGAAUCAACGCUGGCGGCGCGCUUAACACAUGCAAGUCGCACGAGAAAGGGAGCAAUCCUAAGUAAAGUGGCGCACGGGUGAGUAACACGUGGAUCAUCUACCUUUUAGUGGGGAAUACCUCUGGGAAACCGGAGACAAUACCGCAUAAGCCCGCAAGGGGAAAGCAGCAAUGCGCUGAAAGAGGAGUCCGCGGCCGAUUAGCUAGUUGGCGGGGUAACGGCCCACCAAGGCGAAGAUCGGUAGCCGGCCUGAGAGGGCACACGGCCACACUGGCACUGAAACACGGGCCAGACUCCUACGGGAGGCAGCAGUGGGGAAUCUUGCACAAUGGGCGAAAGCCUGAUGCAGCGACGCCGCGUGAGCGAUGAANNCCUUCGGGGUGUAAAGCUCUUUCGACGGGAACGAUAAUGACGGUACCCGGAGAAGAAGCUGCGGCUAACUACGUGCCAGCAGCCGCGGUAAUACGUAGGCAGCGAGCGUUGUUCGGAAUUACUGGGCGUAAAGAGUGUGUAGGCGGUGUUCCCAGUCUGUUGUGAAAUCUCCCGGCUUAACUGGGAGGGUGCAGCGGAAACUAGAAUGCUAGAGGGUGGGAGAGGCAAGCGGAAUUCCUGGUGUAGCGGUGAAAUGCGUAGAUAUCAGGAGGAACACCUGGUGUAGGCAGCUUACUGGACCACUUCUGACGCUGAGACACGAAAGCGUGGGUAGCAAACAGGAUUAGAUACCCUAGUAGUCC
rnacentral:rRNA from 1 species